UAAUAAUAAUAAUAAAUAUAUAUAUAUAUAUAUAUAUGGGGAACUAUGAAUAGUCUUGUAAGAAAGACCUGAAUUUACUGCAAUUUUGCUUCCCCCCGCCCAAGAUAUAUAGGCACAGAUCUUUGUGUAGCUUUUUUAGUUAGUUUGUUUAAAUCCAGAAGAUGUGCACGCAACUAUCAUUUCAUUACUGAAGUUUAAUAAAUGGAUAUCUGAAAGCACUUCCUGAUUUUCUGCUGGAAGGCCCUACAGUAAUGAAAAGUAUUAUUUUAUUAUUCAGUGUCAUUCUUGGUGUGGGCUCUGAGGCUGGCAUUGUGCUGAGAUUUUCCUACUGAACAAAGCACUGAUCUUAUCUUUCCUUCUGCUGGUUUUUCUGCACUAGAAAUUCCUCUGUAUGGAAAGGAUGGACUCAAGAUUUAGUGGGAUCAAUAGGGAUUUAAAUGUAACUUGAGUGUAAUAUAUCCAAACCAGCUUCUUGUGGCUAAUUUCCAGGUUAAAAUGUUUCCCUGAAUAUGUGUUUCUCCAGUCACCUGGAUUUUUUCCUAUUCUACAUUUUGAACUCCUUAAGAGCAAAUGAUUUAUUUCACUGAUGUUUACUCCUGUCACUUUUCUUCCCAGUGCUCUCAAAAAAAGGUUGUGCAGAAGGGCACAAAAUCCGUCCAUAGAGAAGUGCUGGUCUUUGCCUAUGAGGUGACGCUAUUGUCAGGGAACAUGAAUAAUCCUCUUCUCUUUUCUACAAAGGUAAUGUGA
rnacentral:lncRNA from 1 species